AUUGAACGCUGGCGGCAUGCCUUACACAUGCAAGUCGAACGGUAACAGGUCUUCGGAUGCUGACGAGUGGCGGACGGGUGAGUAAUACAUCGGAACGUGCCUAGUAGUGGGGGAUAACUACUCGAAAGAGUGGCUAAUACCGCAUGAGAUCUACGGAUGAAAGCAGGGGAUCGCAAGACCUUGUGCUACUAGAGCGGCCGAUGGCAGAUUAGGUAGUUGGUGGGAUAAGCGCGUACCAAGCCGACGAUCUGUAGCUGGUCUGAGAGGACGAUCAGCCACACUGGGACUGAGACACGGCCCAGACUCCUACGGGAGGCAGCAGUGGGGAAUUUUGGACAAUGGGCGCAAGCCUGAUCCAGCAAUGCCGCGUGCAGGAUGAAGGCCUUCGGGUUGUAAACUGCUUUUGUACGGAACGAAAAGCCCCGGGUUAAUACCCUGGGGUCAUGACGGUACCGUAAGAAUAAGCACCGGCUAACUACGUGCCAGCAGCCGCCGUAA
rnacentral:rRNA from 1 species